rnacentral:rRNA from 1 species
ACCUGCCGAAUUUAAACAUAUUAAUAGGCAGUGGAACAGAAACAAAAAUGGACUUUCUAAGUAAUGGCGAAUGAAAGGAAAGUAGUCUAAUCCAUAAAUCUAUUAUGAAUGGAUUGUAACUUGUAGUUUUGUUAGUUGGAUGGCCCUUGAUUUUAACAAUCUCAAUCAAAUAUGAGAUCCUAGUGGGUUAUUUGCCCGUAUGUUGACAUAUCAGGAGUUAAUUUCAACUAUGUUUUAGAGUAGCGCUCUUUGGUAAUAGAGCUCGAAGCGUGUGGUGAUAUUCAUAAAAGACUUAUCAUUGGUGAGAGACCUUUAGCGUACAAGUACCGUGAGGGAAAGAUGAAAAGAACUUUGGAGAGGGAGUUAAACAGUAUGCGAACAUGUUGGUAGAAAGCGGAUCAAUUUAAUGAACAUUUCUUUGUGGCAAUAGCAUGUAUUUUAUACUCUAAUUUUAGAUAUAAAGUAUAAUUCUGGCUACUCAGGGUGAGGUAUAUAUGUUUUUAUUUAUUCUGAUCCGACCCGUCUGGAAACACGGACCAAGGAGUCUAGUAUUGGUGCAAGUAUUUGAAAAGUUAAAAUUCCUUUACACAGGUAACUCAGAUCGUGUUCAUCGUGUCAUUAUGAUCGUCACGCGGGCAGUGUUUUUUACCUAGCAAGAGCAUGUAUACUGGGACCCGAAAGAUGGUGAACUAUACUUGUGCAGGGUUAAGUCAGGAGAAAUUCUGUUGGAGGCUCGAAGCGAUACUGACGUGCAAAUCGUUCGUUGGAUACAGGUAUAGGGGCGAAAGACUAAUCGAACUAUCUAGUAGCUGGUUCCCUCCAAAGUUUCCCUCAGGAUAGCUAGAGUGCGUUGGAAGUUACAUGAGGUAAAGCAAAUGAUUAGAGUUCAUGGGAUUGAAACAAUCUCGGUCUAUUCUUAAACUUUAAAUGGGUCUGACGCGAUACUUUAUUUUUCAAGUAUCGCAUUGAAUCUGCUCUCUUAGUGGGCCAUUUUUGGUAAGCAGAGCUGGCAAUGUGGGAUGUUCCAAACGGGUAGUUAAGAAGCUAAAGUGUUCGCUUAUUCUGAUACCAUAAAGGGUGUUACUUGAUUUGGACAGCAGGACGAUGGUCAUGGAAGUUGAAAUUCGCUAAGGAGUGUGUAACAACUCACCUGCCGAAUCAAUCAGCCCCGAAAAUGGAUGGCACUCAAGCGAAUCUUUCAAACUGCGCUACUGGUGUACGUUAGUUAGAUGACAGUAAGUAUGGGGGCAGAAUGGUUGUUUUAAACUUAGAAGUCCAAGCUUUCAUGGAACAGAUGUUCGUGUAGAUCUUGGUGUUAGUAGCAAAUAUUCAUCCGAGAGUUAUGAAUGUUGAGGUGGAGUAAGGUUCCAUGUCAACAACAAUUGGACAUGGGUUAGCCGGUCCUAAGAUAAACUGUAAUUAUUUUCUAGGACAGUUUUUAUGUCUCUAUCAAAAGGGUAUCAGGUUAAUAUUCCUGACUUACUUGGUGUACUGUUGACGUGGUAACGCAACAAAAUUUGGUUACUACGGCUAAAGUUUCAGUAGGAGAUCUCUACUCUUAUUGAAAGUUCAAUGAUCAUAGAAUAAGUUUGCCUUGAGAUCGGAUUACAGAACAUGAACAGCAUCGUGCAGUUUACGAUGUAUGGUACACCUUAGACGUUUCUUAAAAAACCAUCUUUAACAUUUAUAUUUACAUUUUAUCCGUAUUGAUUACCGCAACAGGUCUCUUAGGUCAAAAGCCUCUGGUUGAUAGAAUAAAGUGGGUAAGGGAAGUCGGCAAAAUGGUUCUGUAAGUUUGCUAAAAGGAAUGGCUCAUUAGGUUGGGUUAUAGGGCUCUUGGAAGUAGCUUUAUGAAGAUAAUGACUGCUGGUGCUGAUUCAGAUUCGUAAUCGGAUGGUCCAUAGAUUUGUAUGGGUAAAACCAUGAGGGGAAAAGUAUUUGUAAAAAGUUUUCAUUUCCAGUAAUGAUUAACAACUGAUAGUGAACUGGUGCUUACCACAGGAACCCGACUGUUUAAUUAAAACAAAGCAUUGUGAUUGAUCUAAGGGUUGUUGAUACAAUGUGAAUUCUGCCCAGUGCUCUGAAUGUCAUAGUGAAGAAAUUCAAUCAAGCGCGGGUAAACGGCGGGAGUAACUAUGACUCUCUUAAGGUAGCCAAAUGCCUCGUCAUCUCACUAGUGACGCGCAUGAAUGGAUCAACGAGGUUUCUUCUGUCCCUAUCUACUAUCUAGCGAAACCACAGCCAAGGGAACGGGCUUGGAUGUAAUGGCGGGGAAAGAAGACCCUGUUGAGCUUGACUCUAGUCUGACUUUGUGAAGUGGUAUCUGCGGUGUAGAAUAGAAGGGAGUCAUCAAGCAGCAUUGAAAUACCUUUACGGAGUUCGCCAUUUUACUUAAAAAAUCGUAUCGCUGUUACUCAUUUGAGUAUUUUUCUAGAUUAAAACUUUAAUAAGUGAUUGCUUUAUAAACAUUGUCAGAUGGGGAGUUUGGCUGGGGCGGCACAUCUGUUAAAUGAUAACACAGGUGACCUAAGAUUAGUUCAAUGCGAACGGAAAUCGCAUGUGGAGUUUAAGGACAAAAGCUGAUUUGACUUUGAUUUUCAGUAUGAUUCAGAGCACUGAAAGGUCUGGCCUAGUGAUCCUUUAGAUUUUUGAAUUGCAAAUCUAGAGGUGUCAGAAAAGUUACCACAGGGAUAACUGGCUUGUGGCGGCCAAGCGUUCAUAGCGACGUCGCUUUUUGAUUCUUCGAUGUCGGCUCUUCCUACCCCUAUCUUGCAUAAGGGAUAAACGGUUAGAUUGUUCACCUACUAAUAGGGAACGUGAGCUGGGUUUAGACCGUCG